rnacentral:rRNA from 1 species
AUUGAACGCUGGCGGCAGGCCUAACACAUGCAAGUCGAGCGGAUGAAGGGAGCUUGCUCCUGGAUUCAGCGGCGGACGGGUGAGUAAUGCCUAGGAAUCUGCCUGGUAGUGGGGGAUAACGUCCGGAAACGGGCGCUAGUACCGCAUACGUCCUGAGGGAGAAAGUGGGGGAUCUUCGGACCUCACGCUAUCAGAUGAGCCUAGGUCGGAGUAGCUAGUUGGUGGGGUAAAGGCCUACCAAGGCGACGAUCCGUAACUGGUCUGAGAGGAUGAUCAGUCACACUGGAACUGAGACACGGUCCAGACUCCUACGGGAGGCAGCAGUGGGGAAUAUUGGACAAUGGGCGAAAGCCUGAUCCAGCCAUGCCGCGUGUGUGAAGAAGGUCUUCGGAUUGUAAAGCACUUUAAGUUGGGGGGAAGGGCAGUAAGUUAAUACCUUGCUGUUUUGACGUUACCAACAGAAUAAGCACCGGCUAACUUCGUG